UAUUACCGAUCCAAAAAAAAAGAAAAAGAAACAAGCCCUCGCCUCCCACUGCUUCACCGCAGCCCUCGCCGACGAUCCCCCGACACCGCGACACGCCGCCGUCGCGGUCGGGGCAAGGCCCCCCGCGCUGCUCACGCCGGCCGCCGCCGCAGCCUCGCUUGCUCGAGCUGACGGAGGGGGCAAGGGUGGAGCACGGGGACGAGGCCGACCUAGGUGGCGCGCCUGCGCGUGCGCCGGGCGGCAGGAGCGUCGUCGGUAGGCGAGUGGAACUUGAGCUUGGCCCUGGGUCCGCGGAUGUCGCGACCUGACGAGGUUCGAGUUCGUGCUCUCCGUGGAUCACGGCUUCCGAACAGGAUGCCAGUGUACUCCGCCUCCCAAGCCGCCCCUGAAUCUCCACCGCGGCCAUGAAGCCACAAGAGCUGCAGAUCCACGGGAUGGCGGCGCCAAGUAAGAGCACCUCCUUGCUUCCCUCUAUACGAGAUGAGAAGUGCACUGCACCAUCCCGCCGACUCAAGUUCUGCAAUUGCCGGAGCCUCCACUGCCUGUAAGGUGUUCGACAAAAUGCUAAGCUUCCAGACGCAUAGCAACUUUAAUUUAUGAAGGUAACUCUUCUCUGUUCUGCAAAUGACAUCAAGUUCAGUAAGAGAUGGAGUUCCGUGUCUUGUAACGAGAGCAAUUUCUCAAAAUAAAUUAAUUUUGGGAUUUCCAUGGCCCAUGGGUAACCACCUGACCAAGAUAUCACCAUGAUUUGCUUCCACCGUGGCCAUUCAUCUUAUGGUAGCAUAAUUCAUCUAAUCACACCAGCCACUCAUCGGUUGCAACACAUAAGCUGUGUGAACAAUCACGCUGGUAAUUUCUUUCAUGCUUCUAUCCUGGAGGUAAUGGUGUUACUAUUAAUUGCGUUGCUCAGUUUUUUUUCAUAUGCUAUAUUGCAAUGAAGCUUUGUUCAUCUUGACAGAACAUUGACUUGAAACCAUCAUAGUUUAAAUUUUCAAGAUAGAAGGACAGAGGGCAUAGUUUGAAUAAUUUUAAUGUGCUUCAUGGAAGCAAUCAUGACCACACCGACGCUGAGUGACAUCACAAACACCCAAAAUACAGGCUAAAGGUCAUUGAGGAAGAUAAUUCUGCAGGAAAUAUGUUACAUGUCCUUUGUGUGAAACUUAGAUUUCUCAUUUUGGAGGUGCCCAUAGGAGGGGUGGGCGGCGCUGAGGCGUCCAUGUUGGAUUCGAGCAGAGCGGGCUCACCACGAAAUUGCCUAGUCAUCGUCGAAGGCUGCGAAGGCAGCCGGCCGGGGAUCAGCGAGGGCGGCUGCGAUGCAGGCCUAGAGGUGAAGGUGAAGUCACCAAAAUCGAAGUUGUCUUCGAGGAAGGGCAAGGGGGCGGCGGGAACGGCGUCCAUUGCGUGGCGGAGCGCGCGUGUUGGUCGGCGGCUGGAAAGGAAGGGAAUAAUGCGACGCACUGUUUUCAAUUGAUGAGAAAGUGAUGGUAGAUCAAAUUUUUGGCCUUGAUCAAAGCUUUGAUAGCAAGACGGAGACUGAAAUUCAUAGUGUUGAGAAGUUACCAGAUAUUCGUGCAAAUGAAGGGGUUAGCCCCUCCAGAAAAAUAAACUACAAAAUGAGUCUUAUGAUGGAGUAAACACAAAGUUGCAUGCGUCCAAAGAUAGUGAUGAUGCCCCAAGUGAAGUGAGAAGAAUGUGCAUUCCAAAGGGCUUAAUGGUAUUACUUCAUCCAAGGUUGCUGAGCAAAUAAUGGAUAAUUCCUUGAGGAUUGCUGAUGCAAGUUCACGUGGACCAAGCAAUCUUGGCAAAGACUUGGCUACGGCUCAACCAACAGCUGAUGGACAAUGAAAAUCUUCAGUCGUGGAACAAAAUGCUCUCACAAAAUGUGACCUUAGUGAAAAAUCAAAGGGUGGUGCAAUAAGUCAUGCUAACCUUGGUGUGAAAUUUAUCCGUGGCGUUAGCACGGGCAAUGUCGGUGUUCUGAAUCACCAGCUAGUAAACUUGUACACGCGUCAUGGGCUCGGAUGGUAGUGCAAGGAUGGGACACAAGAUUUAUAUUGGUUCGGGCAGAAAGUCCCUACAUCCAGUUCGAGCU